rnacentral:sRNA from 10 species
CAAAAUGACUAAAAGGUUUUCAAUUUGCUGCAGGCUUGGAGAUAAUGGGAGGAACGAAGGCACCCCUGUUGAACUUGGUGAUCAAUUCUUAGGACUAUCCUGCAACCUAUCAGAUGUGAGACAACACAUCCACACUGGUCUCAAAUGGUUCAUGAAUUGGAAAUCAUUUAAUGCAAGUAAGUCAUUGAAGUUAUGUUUGUCCAGUGAAGAGAAUGAUUAGAGGAAUAAGCUUCAAAUCAUUAAAUAAUAUAAAUUAUCUGGAACCUCAAUGUUUAUAAUUUGUUUUCUGCUGCACUUUCUGUAUACUUCAUUUAUCAAAAGUCAGUCAAUCACAUCAUCUUAUAAAAACAACGCAUGAUCUACCCACCUGGUAUUUGUAUUUUAUAUGUCAACCAUCCUAAGUGUCUCAAAUAGAAAUCAUUGAUCACAGGACUACACAUGAAAUGCAGAAAGUAAGCUUGGAUGCUUUUCUCAUUUGCUCCAAGAGACUAUUUUGACAGAUAUGGACUUUGUGGUUCAAAAGGGCAUCGUGAUGGUACUCAGCUUCCACUUUUUAAAGGAUUCAAGCCUUGAUUCCCUGAAAGCUGAUGUUUAAGCCUGAAUUCCCUGAAAGAUAGAACUCAUCAGACUGACCCCAAGGGUGUAAGCACAGAAUAAGCCAUUCAACUGCCAAAGCAGAUAUGGAUUUAUCAGAUUUAAAAGAUUUGAAAAUGCCAGAUGCUACACUUUCUUAGGUGACUAAAGCUAUGAAACUCAAGGGAUGCAAGGCUAAGUAUCUACAGAACUAUUCCCUUAUGGCAUACACUAGUUCAGAUAACAGAGGAAGAGGUAGUGUUUGGGCCCUUUGGUUUCAUCAUCUGAUUGAUUAUAGACAAUUUCAAUCAAAAGAGCAGGACUUAUAUGUUAAUAAUGUCUGCUUCAGAAUCAGGUAUGAGUCUACAUUUUCUCUUGUUUUCGCUGCUUUUUUUGUUUUUGUUCAUGUAUGCUUUUCUUUAUCAAAGUUCAUCAUACAGAAUUGAAAGAUAAGCCUAGGAUAAAACUUCCUGCAUUAAUUGCAACGCCACUGUGUUGUGCUUUUCGGGCUGUUUACUGUCAGUCAUUUCCUUCACAGAGGUCGUGCAAAGUUGAAUGAGAUGUCAAAGCUAGUAACGUUCUGCUUGAUAGUGAGAUGAAUCCAAAAAUUUCAGAUUUUGGAUUGCUUAGAACUUUGGAGGAAACCAAACUGAAGGGAACACUGCAAGAGUGGUUGGAACUUAGGUUUCAAUUUGCUGCAGGCAUGGAGAUUAUGGAAAUAAGACAGUCCUUUAAAACCUGUUGAAGAAUGCUUAGGAGAGUCUUUGCAAUCUAUCAGAAGUGAUACAAUACUUCCAUUAUCAGUCUUUUAAGUUUACAACAGCAUCCUGAGGAGAGGCCAAGUACGUCAUUUGUGAUUCUGAUGUUGGGAAGUGAAACUGAAUUGCCACACCCCAAACAAGCUGGUAUUUUGUUUUAAAAAAAUCCACUUGAAGAAGAUUCUUCAUCAGACAAGCAUGUAUCUUCUUCCACAAAUGAAAUAACUCUGUCAGUACUAGAUGCUCGAUAAUUGACAAACUGUAUACUUAGCUCUUUCAUCUCCAAGCCAUUAUUAAAAGUUAUCGACCAGUAUGUUUAUGUCUCUUAUGCUUUGAUACCAGUGGUUUAGUCCCAGUUUGAGCUUAA